rnacentral:tRNA from 1 species
AGGACUUUAGCGGGGGGGGUGUCCUUACUUCAUAGAUGUAAAAUGAUUGUUGUAAGUCGGA